UCUUGCUGUAACAAAAACUCCAACCAAAUCUGCAGGCUGCAUGGUGACUGCCUUCAGCAGACACGGCAAAACAGCUCUUGAAAUUGGAGCUGGAUGGUUCUCAGGAAGGGCUGCUGGCCAUGAGCUAGAGGAGGAGCCCAUCAUAUCCUUGGGAGAAGUUAAAAUUGGCCCUCCUGACUGACAGUCACUGCCUGGUCCCGCUAUCCCCCAUGUAGAGACUGGGUUAAGUGUACUGGAGCUCCAAAUAAUCCCUUCAGACAAGUUUAAAGGGUUAAGUGACAUCCAGCGUCCAGCCCUCAGCUGCACGUGCUACAGGCAGCUGGACCUCUGCCCUGCGUGGGUUCCCAGGGAGAGGGCACAGGGGCUUCUGAAGUGAAAACGAGAUGCUUGACUCCAACAGUGCAAUGCUGGAAACCUUUUCACAGCUUCUCUCUUGCCUAAAUCCAUCAGUGCCGCCUCUCUAUUUCAGUUUCACACAGAGCUAUGCCUCUCUACUCUGCUUUAGCCUAGCUAGAUUGAGAAAUUAGAUAAACUUCCACAUUAGUCCCCAGAGGGCAACCUUCAGACAUGACUAACACACUACUGGGACAGGCCUGUGCUUAGCUGAUUACUUCACUGCUGUAGAAGGUGCAGGUCUGAAUCUUCUCAGGCAGAGGAAAGAACUAAAUGGGUAUUUCCCACCCUGCGGGUAAAUGCUCUGCCACCUGGCUUUCAUACAAAAGCGGGGCAUGAUGCGCUUCUCUUAUGUUCUCAUUUAUAACAAACCAGCAGCAGCUACUGCUCUUUCUUCCAGAAUUUCCUGUGGACCCUAGAAUUGUCAGUGUGCUCGUUUCUGCAGAUGCCCAUUUUAGUAAGAUUGACCAAGGGUUUUAGUCAGAGCAGAGCUCAGUUUCUGUGUCCCAGACAGUCCUGGGUGAAGUGCUGAGCUGCUCAGGAUUGAAAAUACACCCAAGGGGCAAGGAUGGAGGAUAUGUGCCUUUGAAGUCAGGUGACAAGCAAGCAGGGCUUUAAGCUUGUGUGUUACACAUUACUUGAAGAUGGGCUUCAUUUCACUUAACAUCAGCCUUCUAAAUGGUCGGGCACCUCAAUUACACUCAUCUCAUCCUCUUGGGAGAAAUGGGCACCUCCCAGAUUCACUUAGCAAAAGAGAGUCAUCUUCAGGACGUGCUCCUCUUUCCUCUGGAAGCAGCAUGGAUUUAAAGGUAUUUGUCCUUCACAGUGCAUACUUGCAGCUCACAUUGUCUGUCAAAGUCACCACAGGGUUUGCAGCGUGACUUCUAAGCCAGGACAGUGAAAUCCUGUGAAAGCAGUCAAAAUUUUCCAUACCUCUGCCCUUGUCAUGUUGAGGUUUGUUUUUGACUUCCUUCAGUUCAAGAGCAUCCAGAGAGAGAAACUGGUUUUCUUUGAUGGUAGGAAAAAAAGAGCAUAGGAGUAUGAAGGAAAGAUGUCUCUUACCUGCUGGUGUUUUAGGAGGCUUUUAUGGGGGACACAUCUUGUUUAUUAUGGAAUGCUUAUUAAAGUAUUAGAAUAAAUCUGGGACUUGACAGCUGUCAGUGUGUAGCAAAGAGCAACCUCACAGUGACUGUGCAGUUAGUAAAGCUUAUGGGACCGUGUGUAUAAAGAACAGAGUGCUGGGGCUAAAGGAGAAUCCCCAUCGUUUGGCAGCAAAAUGUGCUUGCAGAGAACAGCAAUGCACAUUUGGCCGGGGAAUAUUUCCCAUAACAGACUAGGAUGGCUGCAGUGCCCUUCCUCACCCCAGUCACAAAUUAGUACUGAUGUUACACUUCGCAUCACACACCCCAAGAGAGCCAAGUACCUGCACAGCACACCAACGUCCAUUUUCACUCACAAUUCACACCAGGAACAGACACUUCUCACCUGCAGGUCACAGCACCCAAGGCUGCUUUAUCAGUAGCCAAACAGGAUGCUGCAGACCACGGAGAAACAGGCAGAGAAGCAUUUCCAACAAUGAAAGGAAAAAUCCAGUGCCCACAAGAUGAAACAUGUUCAAUGGGUAAUACAGUGUCUGCAUGCUAAAAUUCCUGAAGGUUGCUGAACUUCCUGGCCAUGGCAUCCACAGGCAUCUGGGAUUCAAGUUACUUACCUGGAAGAAGUCACAGAGGCACACAGAGCAGAAAGGAAUGGCUCAGAGGGUGGCAUUUGUGAAGAUGCAGCAAUUUCUCAUCAAGCCCUAAUAGCACUGGUGACUACUCCUUGUUUUAGCAGCCCAACACUGGAGGGUUUAUGUGGAAUUUAAGGGCAGCAGAGCACCUCCUGGCCAUGAUCUACAUCAGACCUUUUCUGAGACCUUGCAUUGCCUUUAUAGCUGGUAAAAAAUAAUCAAGAAUCAUAUUAAUGGGUGAAAAAGAUAUAGAUGAAGGCAAUUUAUAAAUGUUGCCUGUAAAAGAAAAAAAAUGGUAGAGCAAGGGUUAACUUUCUGCUUUCUCCUUUUUCAUUCCUUUCUCUUUCCCCUCCCUUUCCCGCUUUUAAUGACCCGGUGAAGGAAACUCUGUUUAGUUCAGUAAAACCUCUCUUAUAUCCCACCACACAGGAUGUACUGAAUUGUUGCAGGAAAAGUUAAAAGGAAACUAAGGACAAUUGUUAGUGCUUCUUUCCUGCUCCAUUUUCUAGUUGGUUUGAUUGGUUGGUAGGCUGAGGGUAAAUGGCUUUUAUAGCUUUGAAUGAUGAAUGACUCUGAAAUAGUCUGUAACCAGAAGUGCCGACUGACAUGCUGCUGAUUUAACUGACAUACAGGGUUAUGUUUGUAUAGUCACUUAAAUAAACAUGUGUUAGGCUGGAGCCAACUACGCCAGCACUUCUUUGCUUUCCCUCCACCCUCCAUUUAUCACUAAAAGAUAACGAUAACAAUUUGAUCUUCCUAUCAGUCAUUCAUUAUAUUAAUUAAUUCAAAUGUAAUUGUUUUAAAUGCCUCUCCAUUGCUGUGGGUACUUUGUACAGCACUUACACACACUAUCAGAGGACAAAAUAAAUCCUCAAUAAAAAGAUACACUCAUCAAAUGGGCUCCUUCAAACUAGCAGUCCCUUUCAUCCUGCAAUUAUCUCCUUAGCCUUCAAAGCAGCCUCUCCCUAAAUGCUCACGAAAAUAAAUGGGUCCAGGAGCUUGACAAGGAGCUGAACUAAUCCUGGCUCUUACAAAGGAGCCAAAGCAAAUUCCUCAGAGAAAAAGCUCUUCUAGGAGAUUCUGCCUUUCCUCUGCUCUUACUUACCUUUGUGCAGUGCUUGUUCCUUUGUGGCUUUCUGUGAAGCUUCAUCAAACCUUAUAAAGGUCUUUGUUCUUCUUA